UACGGAGGGUGCAAGCGUUAUCCGGAUUCACUGGGUUUAAAGGGUGCGUAGGUGGGCAAGUAAGUCAGUGGUGAAAUCUCCGGGCUUAACCCGGAAACUGCCAUUGAUACUAUUUGUCUUGAAUACUGUGGAGGUCAGCGGAAUAUGUCAUGUAGCGGUGAAAUGCUUAGAUAUGACAUAGAACACCAAUUGCGAAGGCAGCUGGCUACAGGAACAUUGACACUGAGGCACGAAAGCGUGGGGAUCAAACAGG
rnacentral:rRNA from 1 species